UGGAGCCACCUUGAUCAUGUUCCUGCAGUGCAUCAGCUGGCUUGUUUUUGAACCAGCUGUCUAAAUUAAGCAACAGGAGCCAAUUGUAUAUGGAGAUACGAAUAUAAAUGUAGCUGUUGUUAUUAAAGGUGUCUCCAUCCAUUUGAUUUGAGGAAUAGAGAUCGCCCGUGUUCCAUGUCUAAGUUUUCUUUUACAAAUUUAGAGAAACAUAAAGGUCAAUAUAUACCUCUCAUGUUGAUAGAGCCAUUUUUUUUUCACGAAACACAUUGCAGAUGCAGACGUUCACAUACACUCACCCCUAUGAAUACACGCACGCAACCCUAUCGGCCUAUCCCUAUGAGAGCACCCCUAUGAAUACACACGCAACCCUAUCCCUAUGAGAGCACCUUCGAAAGACUAAAUCGGUAGAUCUUAAGAUUAAUGAAGUCAUCAUAGCCACCCCACUAUUGGCGGACACGCCGCCUACCACUGGAAAAAUAUUACUAGUUAAUUUCUAAAAUAAAUUCAAAAAAAUGUAAACACCUGUGCUAAGUCGAGGAUCA
rnacentral:lncRNA from 1 species